AUGCGUAGUGGGAGCCGGUGCAGGGUCGGUGGGUGGUUGCAGCAGUGCAGCGCGAGGGCGAGCGAGGUGCCGUUGGCCAGGACCAGUUGGGCAGAGCAUACAACAAAAGGAAUGACUGUGAACACUCCAGCGCUUUGUUUCAGAAGCAAGAAAAUUCUUGCUCCCAUGGUGCGGGUUGGAACAUUACCCAUGCGUCUUUUGGCUUUGGAUUUUGGUGCUGAUAUUGUGUACUGUGAGGAGCUGAUUGACAUAAAGAUGGUGCAGUGCAAAAGAGUUGUAAAUGAGGUGCUUGAAACAGUGGACUUUGUAGCUCCUAACGAAAGAGUUGUUUUCAGAACGUGUGUGAGAGAGAGAGAUUGUGUUGUCUUUCAAAUGGGAUCAGCAGAUGCUGAGAGAGCCUUGGCUGUAGCCAAGCUUGUAGAGAAUGAUGUAGCUGGGAUUGAUGUCAACAUGGGCUGUCCAAAAGAAUAUUCUACUAAGGGAGGUAUGGGAGCAGCGCUGCUGUCUGAUCCUGACAAAAUUGAGUGUAUUCUGAGUACCUUGGUUAAAGGAAUUUGUAAACCAGUGACCUGCAAAAUCCGAAUCUUGCCUUCACUUGAAGACACUAUAAGCCUGGUGAAGAGGAUAGAAAAGACUGGUGUUGCUGCCAUUGCAGUCCACGGAAGGAAAAAGGAGGAGAGGCCUCAACAUCCUGUCCACUGUGAAGUGAUCAAAGCCAUCUCUGAGGCAGUCUCUGUUCCUGUAAUAGCAAAUGGAGGAUCUCAUGACUUCAUCAAAGAAUAUACUGACAUUGAAGCCUUCCAACAAGCAGCAGGUGCUUCAUCAGUAAUGAUAGCUCGUGCUGCCAUGUGGAACCCAUCCAUCUUCAGAAGAGAAGGCCUUUGUCCCUUGAAGGAAGUCAUGCAAGAAUACAUCAAAUAUGCAGUGAGAUAUGAUAAUCACUAUACCAACACAAAGUACUGUCUCUGUCAGAUGUUAAGAGAACAGUUAGAAACCACAGAGGGAAAGAAACUGCAUGCUGCACAGUCGACUCAAGAAAUCUGUGAAGUCUUUGAAAUGGGCAGUUUCUAUGAAGAAACAACAGCUAUUCUGGAAGCUAAGGCAUCAUUAAAGGCCAAGACACAAGAUAAAGAUGAGCAGAUGGAAGACACAGAUGUGAUAAAAAUGGCUGUUAGAUUUGACAAGCGAGAAUAUCCACCACAGAUUACUCCCAAAAUGUAUCUUUUGGAAUGGUGUAGGAAGGCGAAGCACCCACAACCUGUUUAUGAAACUGUUCAAAGACCAUUAGAUAAAUUAUUCUGUUCAGUUGUCACAGUAGCUGAACAAAAAUAUAGAUCAACCUUAUGGGACAAGUCAAAGAAACUAGCAGAACAGGCUGCAGCUAUAGUCUGUCUUAGGACUCUGGGUCUCCCAGAGGGGAAGCUUAACGAGGGAGAAAACCACCUGAUUAACAAACGCAAGAGAGAGAACCAGGAGUUCCUGAACAACAAAGAACAUGAAGAUGACCUACUUGUUGAGGCUUCACAUAAAAGAGCUCAUUUUACUGAGGGAGCUUCUGACUCCAGCUCUUCUGAGGUGCCACGAUAGCAUGAAAAGCAAACAUUCCACAGCUGUGCAGCUACCAAUUCACUCGCCUUUUUUUUUUAUAUCCUGCUAUUAUAUUUCAUCUAGACUCUAUCAGUCGGAGACAGGAAAACUCUACCGCACUGGAAAGCCAGAGAACUUAUGGCCUUUAGUCUCUGCAUAAUACUCACAUGAGCCUUAGUAUCAGUGCUGCAUUCACCACUAAAAGUUUAUGGAAUAUUUGGGCCAAACAGGGUCUUCGAACACAAGAACCCGAGGAGCAGCAUAAUGGAAUGUUUGUACCCCAGUUCUGACUCCCUUUGAAGCGCCCAGAGAAGUCACUCAGUAGAAGGUCUGCAACUGAUGGCUUGGAGCAUUCUAGGAUGGAAGCCUAAGGGCCACGGCCUGUGUUGCAAUGCUCUUACACCAUUUUCUUGUCCUGGCAACUGGCUCUACAUGACACCCCCACAAGCUACACCUCUCCUACAAUGUAAAUUUCUCUACUCCUGGCAGAAACAGUGUGCCUUGGGAAAUAGAAUUGUGACGGGAACCACAGCUGGUCAGCACACAGGUGCAUGUUAACCCUGCUUUUAUAGUAUCUAUGUGCACCAGAUCGGGGGUGGUGAGAAAGGGACUUUUUGGUAUAUGGCCUCUUGUGGGGAAGAGAGAAUGGAAAAAUUAAACAUAGGGAAGUAAUAGAAGAUCAGCCUCAAUUUAAUAUCAAUGUCCAAAGAAAAUACGAUCAAUGUUUUUAGUGUGCAACUACAAAACAUGUAUAUUGUGAAUUGGCUGAAUGAAACUGAAGUAUCGUUGAAAUAAGUUAAAUUGUCUAGAAGGACCUAAUGCUUGCAAGGUAAGUGUUUAUAUAACUUUGUGAUCACAAAUCGUUAUUUUAUUUAUCUAGUAUGAUGUUUGUAUAAGUAACUACAGUUAGCUGAAUAAUAUAUAAUUAUGGUAAGAUAAAUGGUGUAGCAUCUGCAAACAAGAAAGUGAGAUGCUGCUUUGCUAGAAUGAAUAUUUCAGGCUAAAUUUGGCAGUGAUGUAAAUGAAAAAUGGUCAGAAUAUGGGUGCAUACAAAGUGUGAUUUUUACGCUCCCAUUUGAUGUCCUCAGUGUGGGUCAGGAAAAGCAACUAAUGGAAGUCUGUAAGUGUUUGUGAGGGAGAAUCCUUUAUCUGAGGCUAUGAUUACACUGCCCCAUGGUUCAGACUUUGAGGGCGUGAACAGCAGUGCACACCAAAGGGCUGUGCGGUAACUCCUCUAUGUGGACACUGUGGACACAAACUAAAAGGUUCUUAGGCCAGGGCUACACUUGCAAAUUUGCAGCGCUGCAGCAGGGUGUGAAAACACACCCUCUCCAGCGCUGCAAAUUGCGGCGCUGCAAAGCGCCAGUGUGGUCCCCCACAGGGAGGUGGAGUACGGACAGCGCUGGGAGAGCUCUCUCCCAGCGCUGGCGCUUUGACUACACUUAGCGCUUCAAAGCGUAGUGUAGCCAUAGCCUUAGUUUGCAUUAAUGUCUUUCUGUUUGAAGAGGACUACGCUAAUGUGAACAGGGAACCUUUUAGUUCACUCCUGAAACGGCCACACAGGAGAGUUACAGAGUGCAGCACUUUGCUGUGCACUGCUGUUCGCGUUCUUGUAGACCAAACUGCAGGGCAGCAUAGACGAGCCUUAAUUGCUCUUCCUGCUGCAUUCCUCCUAACCCACUUUCCCCGACUGUGUAACUUUUUGCACCAUUCACAUCAGUGAAUUCAUGCUAGAUACAUCUGUGAUAGUGGCACCUGCAUAUACCAGAUCUGAGGUUUGCUUUUGAUCUUAAAACAGAUUCUUAUUCUGGGGAACAAAAUGCCUUUUUUUCUAGAGACUGUUCUAUUCAAGGUAUUGGAUUGAAACCAUAUC